rnacentral:rRNA from 1 species
GGACUACACGGGUUUCUAAUCCUGUUUGCUCCCCACGCUGUCGCGCCUCAGUGUCAGCAACUGCCCAGCUCACCGCCUUCGCCACCGGUGUUCUUCCGGAUCUCUACGCAUUCCACCGCUACACCCGGAAUUCCAUGAGCCUCUACAGUGCUCCAGCCCCGCAGUCUCGACGGCCGACUCGGCGUUGAGCGCCGAGCUUUCACCGUUGACUUGCGGCGCCACCUACGCGCCCUUUACGCCCAGUGAUUCCGGACAACGCUCGCACCCUCCGUAUUACCGCGGCUGCUGGCAC